GACGAACGCUGGCGGCGUGCUUUACACAUGCAAGUCGAACGGUGAAGGUGGAGCUUGCUCCGCCGGAUCAGUGGCGAACGGGUGAGUAACACGUGGGCAACCUGCCCCUAACUUUGGGAUAACUACUCGAAAGAGUAGCUAAUACCGGAUACGAAGUCUGUAGGCAUCUACGGAUUUGGAAAGUUGUUCGGUUAGGGAUGGGCCCGCGGCCUAUCAGCUUGUUGGUGAGGUAGUGGCUCACCAAGGCGACGACGGGGAGCCGGCCUGAGAGGGCGACCGGCCACACUGGGACUGAGACACGGCCCAGACUCCUACGGGAGGCAGGAGUGAGGAAUAUUGCGCAAUGGGCGAAAGCCUGACGCAGCAACGCCGCGUGCGGGAUGAAGGCCUUCGGGUUGUAAACCGCUUUCAGCAGGGAAGAAGCGAAAGUGACGGUACCUGCAGAAGAAGCACCGGCUAACUACGUGCCAGCAGCCGCGGUAA
rnacentral:rRNA from 1 species